rnacentral:rRNA from 1 species
GACGAACGCUGGCGGCGUGCUUAACACAUGCAAGUCGAACGGGAUUUAGUAAACGGAAGCCUCGGUGGAAGAUUACUAAUGAGAGUGGCGAACGGGUGAGUAACGCGUGAGCAACCUGCCUAUGACAGUGGGAUAGCCUCGGGAAACCGGGAUUAAUACCGCAUAAAAUCGUAGAAACACAUGUUUCAACGGUCAAAGAUUUAUCGGUCAUAGAUGGGCUCGCGUCUGAUUAGCUAGUUGGUGAGAUAACAGCCCACCAAGGCGACGAUCAGUAGCCGGUCUGAGAAGAUGAACGGCCACAUUGGAACUGAGACACGGUCCAAACUCCUACGGGAGGCAGCAGUGGGGAAUAUUGCACAAUGAGGGAAACCCUGAUGCAGCGACGCCGCGUGAACGAAGAAGGUAUUCGUAUCGUAAAGUUCUGUCCUAUGGGAAGAUAAUGACAGUACCAUAGAAGAAAGCUCCGGCUAAAUACGUG